rnacentral:rRNA from 1 species
UACGUAGAGGGCAAGCGUUGUCCGGAAUUAUUGGGCGUAAAGAGCGCGUAGGCGGUCCGAUAAGUCGGCUGUGAAAGUCAGGGGCUCAACCCUUGGAAGCCGGCCGAUACUGUCGGACUAGAGUCCGGAAGAGGCGAGUGGAAUUCCCGGUGUAGCGGUGAAAUGCGCAGAUAUCGGGAGGAACACCAAUGGCGAAGGCAGCUCGCUGGGACGGUACUGACGCUGAGGCGCGAAAGCGUGGGGAGCAAACAGG